UUGGAGUUGGCCAAUGGAGGCACUGGAGAGAGAGACUGGAGGGCCGGAAGAGGGGAGAAGCCAGUUCUCCUCUGCCCUCACCAUGCACAGAUCCUAGGAACUCCAGGUUGAGAAGGACCCUGAGAGCCCCCCUGCUCAUCAGCGCCUCCAUAGCAGGCCCACCUGGCUGUCAGCACCCUCUGCUCACACACUUCCAGGACAUGCCAGGCAGUCAUCCUAGCUCUGGACAACUCUGAGUGACUCAUGGGGGCCGUGGUCUGACAGACUGCGUCUUCCUCCCACCAGCCCAAUGCAACCCCACAGCUGCCCAGAACAAGCCUGUUUCUUUCUUUUGGACAUGUUGUUGCUUCCCAUAUUGUGAGGCCACUCUCUCAUCCCACCUUGAAGAAUUCACAUUUCCAUUUCCUCCAACCAUUUCCUCAUAGCACAGUUUCUAGUUUGCUGGCAGGCUGCCCCGUCUGAUCAUACCUGAUCACAUGUCAGUUUGUCUUUGGCCCUUCUCUUUGGGGGUUCUCAGUAGUCAGACCCUACAUUGCCCCAGUCAGACAUCACACUUGUGGACACCACCCCCUCCCUGGAAGUACACUGGAUUCUCUAGAAGCCACAUCCCACUGGUGGUCACACUGAGCAGACUGUCAAUGGAGAGGCCCUGUGCUUUCCCAGGACUGCUGUUAAGCCACAUUGCUUAAACAGUGUCCCCACGACUGCAGGCUCAGCCAACCCAGGCAAGCUCUUGAGCCCAUGUAAGGCCUGCCUCUCUCUCUCUCAUUCUGUGUAUGUGUGUGUGUCCUCAUUCAGGUCUCCACAGAUAUAGAAGUCUUCUCUAUUUAAUUGUAUUUAAUUGUCCUUAGCUUCCAGCCCCCAGGGACUGGGUUGGCAUAUCUUAGAGGAAAGAGUGUAGGCUUUGGACUCAGACAGAAAUCUCUCUUUGAAGGCUAGUUCUGCCCCCGACCAGAUGUGUGACUGUAGACCAUGUGACUUUCCUCUCUCUGAACCUCUGUUUCCUCACAUGUGAAAUGGGAGAGUAAUACUAGCCUUCUGUGGUGAGUGUGAGAAAUCAAGUACAAUAGGAAUAAACAUGUCUGCUCCCUUCCUGGGUCAUCUGGUACCACAAUGGCGAUGACUACAAUGAUGCUACUUGUCAUUUAUCUCCUGGAGGAGCUGAGAAGAGCUUGUUCAACAACAACUCAUCACUUGGAGAAAAAAUGCAGAAGGUGUCAGAUCAAUUAUACCUUGUUAUAAACACAGACGUGUGCAAAGUGAAGAUUCCCCACCAGCUGUGCCCAAGUCACGCUAGAACAGCCAGCAGACACCAAGUAAACACCACCUAAUGAUGAACCUGGUCGGACCAUUCACGCCAGUUGGCAGAUCCAUAAUUUCAUGGGGGCAUCACCCGGAGCAAAGCCAGCACCAGCCUCCUUGAAAAUGCUAUCGUAUGCUCUCUUUGGCAGCAUUUCCAUUAAAACUGGAACCAUGCAGAGGUCAGCAUGGCCCCUGCAGAAAGAUGACAGCAAAUUUGUGAAGCAUUUUAUAUGAAAUUCUGGUACAUGCUACAACUUGUGUGAAUCUUGUGUGAUUCCACUUAUAUAAAAGACCUGGAGUAGUCAAAUUCAUAGAGACAGAAAGUAGCAGGGUGGUUGCUGGGUGCUGGGGGGAGUGAGGAAUGGGGAAUUCUUAUUUAGUGAGUACAGAGUUUUAGUUUGGGGUGAUGAAAAAGUUCUAAAAUGGAUGGUGACAGUGACUGCACAACAAUAUGAUGUAUUUAGUGCCAGUGAACUGUCCACUCAAAUGUGGUUAAAAUGGUAAAUGUUAUGUAUAUUUUACAAUAAAAAAUGGCAAAAAAUAUCGCAAAGCCAAUUCUACCAGGUGAGCAGGAAGAGGAGAGGUUGUUGGAAAUAGAUGUGUCACUUCAGGGAGGCUGAUGAACAUAUGGGUGGCAGUCACCCUCGGCAGGGGCUUCUUGGUUCUAUUGUCUAUGGGCUUGGGUGGUCCUGUCAGAUCUGGGGAAGGAGACAGCAUUUGGGGAGGGGUAGAAAGAACCCCUGGCCAUCUGAUGCUAUUCUACAUGUGCCCCAAUGGAUGAAGAGUAGAGCAACUCCAGAGCAGAAGUUGGCAGGAAUCAAAUGCCUGGGAAGAAGUCGCUGAAGAUCCAGCAUGGUGGUUCACAGCAGCUGGGCCUGGGUUCAAAUCCUGCUCUAGCAAUGACUAGCUGCGUGACCCUAGGCAGAUUACUUACCCUCUGCCUCAGUUAAAUAGGAACACUAGUACCUACUGUGUAGGAAUAUAGUCAGGACUAAAUGAGGUAAAGUGUGUUAAAUGCUAGGGGUGCCUGGCAAUAAAUGAAGGAAUGGUAAACACUGUAUUUUGUUUCAAUGCCAAUGGUGAAGUCAACAGUAACACUUUGUCUUAGUUUCUUUGUAUUGCUUAACAGAAUACCACAGAAUAAUUUAUAUUUUUAAAAAACAGCAACAAAAUUUUCUCACAGAACUGGAGGCUGGAAGCCCAAGAUUAAGGUGCCAGCAUUUGGUCUGAUAAGGGCCUUCUUUCUGUAUCCUCACAUGGCAGCAGUGGAAGGGCAAGAGAGACAGAGAGCCCCCUCGGUAGCCACAAGCCCUCAUGACUUUAUCACCCCUUACAGGCUCCACUUCUUCAUCCUAUCAUCCAGGAUUAGGUUUUAACCUAUGAAUCUCAAAGAGGACACAAGCAUUCAAACUAUUGCACCCUUAAUAAAGCAAAUCUGGGUAAAAUGAAGCCCUCAGUCAUUUCAUGGAGGGGCAUUGGGGCCCCACCUUUUCCUUCAAUUAUAACCAUCUCCCUCUGUCAGAUCAGAAGCUGUAUCAUAAGAAGGAACCUGUAUCGACCCCCAGGGUGAAUUUGUGCUCUAGUGAAGAAGGUUUACUGACUGUGCCAUGCCUGCCUCCUCAUCUGUCAAACGGGAAUGAGAACACUACCACCUCCCCCAAAGGACCGUCUGGAAAACCUAAGACGCACAUCUACUUGGACACAGUAUGUAAGUGGUGAAGCAUUUAUAAAUGUGAGGUGUCCAUUUUUUAUAAUGGGGACAGCCAGCACUCGUGCAUGAAUGAGUGACCGAGAAACUUAUUGACACUUCCUUGGGGGCUGUUCCAAGCUGCAUGCCUGGAGGCAGACCCCCUGGUGAGAGACUAGCUGGGCAUCCGGCUGCUGAGUUGCUGCAUCAUCCUGCCUGCUGCCUCACCCCACGGAGAGUUGCCCUUUCCACCCAGCAGUCAGGAGGAGCCCACUCAGCACUUCGCUGGGCUGUGUUUCUGCUGAUUCUCCCUGGAUACCUCUGUCUCUAACAAGCAGUCUGCUCAGGAAGGAAUUAAUUAAGGGUGGGGAGAGUGACGACCUAUAGCAGGAGGUCUCAGGUGGGCAGCUGGGAAGCCCCACUCUGUCCAGCCAAGUGGAAGGUCCUGAUGCACUCCCAACCCUGGAGUCAGCAGGAGGGAGGGUGGGGGAGCAGAGCCGUCCCCACCCACCAGCCAUCCUCAUGUCCAGGCUGGAGGAUGAGGCUCUAACUCCCACUCUGUCAUGACUUGUUCAGCCUUGAGCAAUUCACUUUCCUUCUCUGUGCUUUUAACAUUCUAGAAUUUCACAAGAACAUCACUGGAAGAGGGGUGAUGGGAGCACGGGGGAGGCAGGAGGAAGGGGAUGGGAUAUUGGGGUUGUGGAAGUAGGGGCAGCAGCACGUCCCUGACCCCGAAAGCACACAGGAGUUAGCAUCAAAGUGACCUGGGCUCAAAUCCCAUCUCCACAAUUUAUUGACUAUAUCUUUACUCCCUUACUUAACUUUCCGUAGCUUUUGUCUUCUUAUUUGUAAAAGCAGUUUGCAAACCCAAUUUGCAGAGUUAUAUGAGGAUCAGAAGUAAUGUACACCAAGCACUGGCAUACAAUAUAUACUCAAUAAAUCAUUUAUAUAUAUAGUGAAUGCUUACAUACUUUAUUAUUGUCUAUCUUCUAUUUA
rnacentral:lncRNA from 1 species